GAUGAACGCUGGCGGCGUGCCUAAUACAUGCAAGUCGAGCGAACAGAUGAGGAGCUUGCUCCUCCGACGUUAGCGGCGGACGGGUGAGUAACACGUGGAUAACCUACCUAUAAGACUGGGAUAACUUCGGGAAACCGGAGCUAAUACCGGAUAAUAUAUUGAACCGCAUGGUUCAAUAGUGAAAGACGGUUUUGCUGUCACUUAUAGAUGGAUCCGCGCCGCAUUAGCUAGUUGGUAAGGUAACGGCUUACCAAGGCGACGAUGCGUAGCCGACCUGAGAGGGUGAUCGGCCACACUGGAACUGAGACACGGUCCAGACUCCUACGGGAGGCAGCAGUAGGGAAUCUUCCGCAAUGGGCGAAAGCCUGACGGAGCAACGCCGCGUGAGUGAUGAAGGUCUUCGGAUCGUAAAACUCUGUUAUUAGGGAAGAACAAAUGUGUAAGUAACUAUGCACGUCUUGACGGUACCUAAUCAGAAAGCCACGGCUAACUACGUG
rnacentral:rRNA from 1 species